rnacentral:rRNA from 1 species
GACAAGCGGUGGAACAUGUGGUUUAAUUCGAAGCAACGCGAAGAACCUUACCAGGCCUUGACAUGCAGAGAACUUUCCAGAGAUGGAUUGGUGCCUUCGGGAACUCUGACACAGGUGCUGCAUGGCUGUCGUCAGCUCGUGUCGUGAGAUGUUGGGUUAAGUCCCGUAACGAGCGCAACCCUUGUCCUUAGUUACCAGCACGUUAUGGUGGGCACUCUAAGGAGACUGCCGGUGACAAACCGGAGGAAGGUGGGGAUGGCGUCAAGUCAUCAUGGCCCUUACGGCCUGGGCUACACACGUGCUACAAUGGUCGGUACAAAGGGUUGCCAAGCCGCGAGGUGGAGCUAAUCCCAUAAAACCGAUCGUAGUCCGGAUCGCAGUCUGCAACUCGACUGCGUGAAGUCGGAAUCGCUAGUAAUCGUGAAUCAGAAUGUCACGGUGAAUACGUUCCCGGGCCUU